rnacentral:rRNA from 1 species
UAGGGAAUAUUGGACAAUGGGGGCAACCCUGAUCCAGCAAUGCCGCGUGAGCGAUGAAGGCCUUAGGGUUGUAAAGCUCUUUUACCCGGGAUGAUAAUGACAGUACCGGGAGAAUAAGCCCCGGCUAACUCCGUGCCAGCAGCCGCGGUAAUACGGAGGGGGCUAGCGUUGUUCGGAAUUACUGGGCGUAAAGCGCACGUAGGCGGCGAUUUAAGUCAGAGGUGAAAGCCCGGGGCUCAACCCCGGAACUGCCUUUGAGACUGGAUUGCUAGAAUCAUGGAGAGGUGAGUGGAAUUCCGAGUGUAGAGGUGAAAUUCGUAGAUAUUCGGAAGAACACCAGUGGCGAAGGCGGCUCACUGGACAUGUAUUGACGCUGAGGUGCGAAAGCGUGGGGAGCAAACAG